rnacentral:rRNA from 1 species
AGCGAACGCUGGCGGCAGGCCUAACACAUGCAAGUCGAACGAACUCUUCGGAGUUAGUGGCGGACGGGUGAGUACCACGGGGGAACGUGCCUUUUGGUUCGGAAUACUUCAGGGAAACUUAUCCUAAUACCGAAUGUGCUAUUCGGGGAAACGAUUUAUGGCCAUAGGAGCGGCCCGCGUCUGAUUAGCUGGUUGGGGGGGUACCGGCUGACCAAGGGCACGAUCAGUGGCUGGUCGGGUAGCAUGACCAGCCACGCUGGGGCUGAGACACGGACCAGACGCCUACGGGAGGCAGCAGUGGAUAGUCUUGCGCGAUGGACGAAGGCGUGACGCAGCCACGCCGCGUAUAUGAUGAAUGUCGUAGUAUUGUAAAAUUCUUUCUGCGGGGACGAUAAUGACGGUACCCGGUGAAGAAGCCCCGGCUAACUUCGUG